UACGUAGGGUGCGAGCGUUGUCCGGAAUUAUUGGGCGUAAAGAGCUCGUAGGUGGCUUGUCACGUCGGGUGUGAAAGCUUGGGGCUUAACUCCAGGUCUGCAUUCGAUACGGGCUGGCUAGAGGUAGGUAGGGGAGAACGGAAUUCCUGGUGUAGCGGUGAAAUGCGCAGAUAUCAGGAGGAACACCGGUGGCGAAGGCGGGUCUCUGGGCCGAUACUGACGCUGAGGAGCGAAAGCGUGGGGAGCGAACAGG
rnacentral:rRNA from 1 species